GUAAAAGAUACAAAGCAAACAAGACAGGGAGGGAACAGUACCAGGUCUUUCAAAAGAGGUAAGGUCAGAGUGAAGUGAACUGCAACACUGACAGAGGCUUGCAGGCUUACGUGCAGAAAUGGGAAGUAGAAAAAGAAAUGGGAAUUUUCUGAAUAUAGAGUGUGAAAGCUGAGCUGGGACUUUGAAGUACGUGGUUUACAGGAAGUAAAGGUAAUGUCAUUUAAAACACACACGUAUACUGACAUGGGUGUACCUCCUGCUGCCCCCAUCCAGGCUGAAAUCAUGGAUGGUGGAGGAAUAGCAAGACAGAAGAUACUUCACCUGACCAAAAGACAAGAGUGGUACUGUCACAAACCAACCAUUCUGAUAGCAGUUAAGUUUUUAACUACUGAAAUUUUGUACAGUGUGGAACACAGAAGACUACAUACACUUGCCUGCAAAUCUAUAGCCUCAGCCCCAUCCCUUCAGUUGAAGACCGAAGACUUUUGACACAGCACUGCAUUUAAGCUUCACAGGAAAUAAAACUACAAAUUAUAUACUUGUU